UGUCUGGGAAACUGCCUGAUGGAGGGGGAUAACUACUGGAAACGGUAGCUAAUACCGCAUAACGUCGCAAGACCAAAGAGGGGGACCUUCGGGCCUCUUGCCAUCGGAUGUGCCCAGAUGGGAUUAGCUUGUUGGUGGGGUAACGGCUCACCUAGGCGACGAUCCCUAGCUGGUCUGAGAGGAUGACCAGCCACACUGGAACUGAGACACGGUCCAGACUCCUACGGGAGGCAGCAGUGGGGAAUAUUGCACAAUGGGCGCAAGCCUGAUGCAGCCAUGCCGCGUGUAUGAAGAAGGCCUUCGGGUUGUAAAGUACUUUCAGCGGGGAGGAAGGGAGUAAAGUUAAUACCUUUGCUCAUUGACGUUACCCGCAGAAGAAGCACCGGCUAACUCCGUGCCAGCAGCCGCGGUAAUACGGAGGGUGCAAGCGUUAAUCGGAAUUACUGGGCGUAAAGCGCACGCAGGCGGUUUGUUAAGUCAGAUGUGAAAUCCCCGGGCUCAACCUGGGAAC
rnacentral:rRNA from 1 species